CAACUCCCGAAUAAUGUCGGCUCCUCUCAGCUUCAAAACUCCACUGAAAGCUAGCGAGUCGGCUGGAAAUAUCAUAUAACUACGGAGUACCAAUCGAACUUUUUAGUUACAUCCCAUUAGCUACUAUAUUUAGACGCCAAGCGAUCCUGAUAUUCGCGCCUCUAGAAACGAGUUUUUUUUCCUCGCAUGGCGGACACUCUUUACAAACGGCAUUUGAGGGUAUUCCUGUCAAUGUGUGCCUGACCGUCAAAUCAUUUGGGAUGUUCCCCGCUUUCAUGCAACUCGGACACAGGGAACUGCCACCAGAGGAGAUCCGUGCUCGCAGCUCACCUCUGACCACUGCCGUUUCAUUUACUUCAAGCCGGGGUACUACAGGUAGCUAGCUGAAUCUGGGAGGAAAUAGAGGAAGGAUCUCCAUCAAUCUAACAGAUCCCCUCCACUGUUUAAAUUGUGCUACAGAGUUUGUUCAAAUGCUAUCUACGAUCAUCAGCCUUGAGGGGACCUACAGAGGAGUUAUAUUUAGCCCUUCUUCGGAAUCCGCCUGACCCGCCUUGCAAAGCUCGCAACUCAAUGGCAAACUGCACUACAGACAUUCAUGUGCGAACCAAUGGAGCAACAUCUAGAAUAUCUGACUUUGAGCCGUUUCUCAAAGUAUUAUGAAAUUAUAGGUAAAUUAAUCUCCCUCUAAUACUACCUCAAAUAGAUCUUGCGAGCCAUGGGGUUGCAAUCCUUGCACAUCGGGAUUUGUUCAUUACCCUGGUUCAGUUGUGGGAAGGGCGAGAUUGAGUAAAAAGCCUUUAUGACGUAUUCUGCGCGUAUAUACAGUAUGUAUACAUGCGCAUGCACCGCCUAAAAGCCACGCUUUGAGGCCUAUUCUUUAAUGGAAGCGAAGAGGGGUAAAAAAUGCGAAAAGGUUUUUUUAAAAAAAACAUGGGGAUAGGGCGCGCGAGCCAAAGAAAAAACCAUAAAUAUAUCUCUCCUAUGACAAAUAUAGAUGGGCAUAGAUCUCGCAUGAACAGCUAUAGCGCGGAUGCACACAAUUACAGCCAUUACAUUGAGCCUUAGGGAACCUUGAGAAUCAGAGAAAAACAAAAUCCAUACACCGUUCCUGAGUUACCAAAUACGCAUCAACUACUAGACCGCCUCAGUGCGGUUUGCCCAGGCCUAUGCUCUGAAGGGCCCUUUGUUGAAUUCUUUCCCGUUUGCCUGCUUCCUUCCCCAUUAUGGAUAAAUAGUUGCAUGGAAGGAAGAGCAAAUGGCGAUUUCGACGAGGGACAAAUCGUUAUUUCCCUUAUCAUUUCACUGAGG
rnacentral:sRNA from 2 species